CUGUGCCCUCUGCUCUGGGCUUCUGCUGUUCCCGGACAUGCUUCCAGAUACAGCAUGGCCAGCGAGCCUGGAGCGGCCAGUAAUGGGAGGCCUGCGAGGCACCCUUGCAAGGAAGCCAGAACCAGCCUCAGGAGAAUGGAAGCAGAACUUUAUUCUUCUUGGCUAGGGAAGAGAACUAGCGGGUGGUCGUGCAUAGUACCCCCCCACCCCUCCCAGAACCAAA